rnacentral:rRNA from 1 species
AGGGAAUCUUCCGCAAUGGGCGAAAGCCUGACGGAGCAACGCCGCGUGAGUGAUGAAGGUCUUCGGAUCGUAAAACUCUGUUAUUAGGGAAGAACAAAUGUGUAAGUAACUAUGCACGUCUUGACGGUACCUAAUCAGAAAGCCACGGCUAACUACGUGCCAGCAGCCGCGGUAAUACGUAGGUGGCAAGCGUUAUCCGGAAUUAUUGGGCGUAAAGCGCGCGUAGGCGGUUUUUUAAGUCUGAUGUGAAAGCCCACGGCUCAACCGUGGAGGGUCAUUGGAAACUGAAAAACUUGAGUGCAGAAGAGGAAAGUGGAAUUCCAUGUGUAGCGGUGAAAUGCGCAGAGAUAUGGAGGAACACCAGUGGCGAAGGCGACUUUCUGGUCUGUAACUGACGCUGAUGUGCGAAAGCGUGGGGAUCAAACAGGAUUAGAUACCCUGGUAGUCCACGCCGUAAACGAUGAGUGCUAAGUGUUAGGGGGUUUCCGCCCCUUAGUGCUGCAGCUAACGCAUUAAGCACUCCGCCUGGGGAGUACGACCGCAAGGUUG